CCACACUCCCGCUCAGGACUUUGGCGUACCGGUAACUAAAUUGUUAUGUGUGUUACUAAACAGCUGCUGCAUUCCACUCAAGAGAGAGCUGCAUUUCAGUGGCCUGACUGAGAACCUCAGAAGACUAUGCAAGCAACAUGUCAGAGGUGGCGUGUGAACAGGAUUCCUCAUCAAAUUUGGUCCACUGGUUGGAUCAUUAGCUUCCCCAGCUUGGGCCAGGUACUGACGUGAACGCUGAUCCAUGCCCCCCAUUACAGGAUUGGCUACAGGCAUUGUCCUUGGUGUAAGAUCUGGUAUACCAAUUGAUCUGGAGAAGCUGGCAUCUCUUCCUCCACAUGGAGGCGUUGAUAGGAGUGGCAUCUAUCAAACUCACAUGUUGCAGCCCACACAUCUCUCCACAUUUACAGAACCUCAGUGAGCGACACCACCCCAGCAAAAAAGACUCUGACCUCACCGCAAUAAAUAUCCAGCUCUCAUCAGAUAAAAACUACUGGAACAGUUCCUGCUAAUCAGGGCUUUGCUGGUGCUGUGAUGGAAGUGAGGAAACCUGUCUUUGUUUUUUGCACAGCCAUGGCACAAGCUUUCAAAAACAAUGUUGCAGCUGGUCAGAUGGAGACAAAGACUUCCACCACUUGGUGCCCUAUUGUUAUGCUUCACCUGUGACAGAUCAUUUGUAUAUUAUAGUGAACUAGAAAGCCACAGAUGAAGAAGAGGGCAUUUUGGUGCCAUUGUACUAAUCAAAAAUAAGAUACAACUUUUGUAACCCUUCUGCCAUGAGCAAGGGCCAGGUUCAAAUAGUUUUAGGAGGGACCCCUAGUUAAUAAACACUACCAGCUCGAGCCCCCGCACUCAGAAUUUCUGAGAUCACUGCCUGUUCCUUGUGUCACGCAAGACUUGGUGCCAACAUGGAAAUAAACUUGUUAAAAAAAUACUGUGGAUCCAUUAAAUUAAGUUAUGCUGUAUAAAGUUUAACCCCUCCAAGGCAGGGGGACGUGCCCCACAGUUUGAAAACCAAUGGUUUAACAAAUAUGUAUCUAGACUCCGACCUAAUAUGCUCCAUACAACUGAAAUAUAUCAUGCUAGUUAGUGCAGAUUGCUUGUUACUAUAAGUUAGUACAGUAAUAAAAGAUAGACCCACACUAAAACCCUUAGAUCCAAAUAUCCCCAAUUUGGGAAAGGUCAGAGGAAUUAGAAUUUGAAUUUUGCACCUCAGACUCGUUUCUAGCAAUGAUUCAUGAUCAUAAAGAGCCUCAUCGAGAACUUAACAGCUCUUGGAAAACAUCCAGCUGAUUGAAAAAUAAUUGUAUUGAAUCACCUUGUGCAUAGCAAGCAAUAUGCUGUACUGGUACAUGGUUAUAUAGCUAGCAGCACAUAAAGAAAUGCCUAAAAUACCCGUAUUGAGAAGACAGAUUUAACAAGUUUCCUGUUUAUUAUCUUUAUCUUCAGAUUUCCAUGAAACAUUGUCCUAAAUUCUGAUAAAGCUGAUAUAUCCAAAUUAAGAGGAAAAUUGAGAUUUCCCACCCUCUCUCCACUUCUCCAAACUGGCAAAAAUUAAACUGCAGAGACAAUUCUGUCUUCAGAGAAGAAUGCUCACUGAUAUGCUCAUACAGCACCCCCUGCUGGUCAGUUCACGAUUCACAAACUAUACACUAUUUCACUGUAAUUGUGUUCCCUUUGUUCAUGGCUCUUACUGUACAGGAAAGGUUGUGCAGAGAAAAAUCAAAUCUUUCCAUGAACAGCUUAUUUAAAAAUAAAGUACCUGAUUCUUUCAAGUGAUGACAAUAUUACAACAGUUGAUACUACAGUAAUUUGAAGUUGCAUUGUGCUGCAGUACGCAGUGUCUUGAGGGUGCGCGCUGUAUAUUUCUCCAAAGAUUUAUGGUACCAAAUAUUCAUUACAGACAGCACCGCGUGUACAGGCAGCAUCCCUCCCAAGAUCUUGAAAAAUAAGUGAAUGGCCCAAGAGGAUUAUCAUGGCAUUAACUACUCUGAUUGCAUUCCCUACAGUUUAAUAACAUGGAUCUAUGAUUGCAGUUGUAUCGGCAGAACUGUAGACUCUUGGAGCAAGAAAAAUUGGGGAUUAUUAACAAUGUGAGAGAAGAAAAGGUCACUUGUUGAACUGCACAUCUCAGGAUGCAGUAAUACUAAGUUCUGUGAGGGCAAAAGUAACAUGCUUUCCUAACACAGUUCUCAGGAGAUUCAUGACACUAACAGUGACUCUGUUGGGGUGGCCCUGGAUUUAUUUGAUCUUACUGUGACAGUGUUUUGGCUGAGAGCUUAAAAUCAUACGUCUGGGAACAAAAAUUUGCAGUAUCUGUCUCUUUUAAAUAUUAUAGUAAUUGCUAGAACAUAGUUUGUUAAAUUACAAUUUAUCUGUAGAUAGCUAUA